rnacentral:lncRNA from 1 species
GUACAAUGGAAGCCCUUCUGCCUUGCUCAAGACUGGAUGUCCCUCUUUUCUAACUUGCCUAAACACCAUCGGCACACAGCACAGUCCUUUGAGUGGGUCUCACACUGGACACAGCAUCGAGGAGCUUCUCCACGGGGAAGUGUGUGUGUGAGAGCCUGCCUGUGUGUCAACACUGUCCAAGACUCGGAGCUGCGACUCGGUCGCGUGGUGCGGAGUCCAGGGCUGAGAAGGCAGCGCACUAAAUAUCUCUGUAUCAGGUGGACCCAGCCGAACUCCGCAGCAGCCCAGGCCAGCGCCCCACCUCCGGGUCACCGGCAUGAUCCGCCUCUCCCCGGGCCCCCGCGGCCCUGGCACCCGAGGUCAGCGGGCCGUGGGUACAGCUCAGCCGCGGACCCUGCUCCGCGAGUGCGGGAGCUUUGGACUUGAACGCGACGUGCUCGCCCGGCUCCCAACAAACUUGCAAUUUCCGCGCGCACCCCUUAAACAGGAACUGUUCCCCAAACCUUGACCCAGCUACCCCGCUGUGCUCUGGCCCGCGGACCUGUGUCCGAACCCGGGCUCGGCUGCCGGAACCGGUUUGAGAAAACAAAAGAGUUGUGGGGCAGUUUUCCCUGUGGGGGGCAGGGGCGCCUCCCAGGUCCCUGCACCCCGACUCCCGGCUGCUCCCCUGGCAACUAAUCCGGAGAAGGGAAGUGGUGCCACGAGCCCCCACUGCCCGGGGAGGGAGGGAGAGAGAAGGGGGAACUGGGAAAUAAACUGAAUUCUCUUACUCUGCCUCCGUUCCUGGACCCCAGACACACCCCCAAAGUAUUCCACGGUUUUCUCUUAUUAUUUUUUUAAACGCCCCCCGGCAAACCUAGGCAGGGAUCCUUAGCCGCGAACAGCAGGAAGGAAAGAAUCCGAGCAAAUCGUGUCACUUUCCGCACAAUCGCGGUGUUUGGCAAGCCCCCGGAGCUACUCCACAAUAUUUACUACCCAAGCGCACGCAGGCUGCAGCGGGCUGCGAGCCGAGCGCGCCCGGGACCGGCCUCCGCCAAGCCGGCCCCGCCGCGGCCCGGCCACCGCCGCUCCCCUCCCAGGAUCAAGCAGCAAGAACACGGUGGAAACAAAAGCAGAGCGUUCACCUUGUUGCAAUAUGUUCAGCAAAACAAGCUUAGACGGAACAGAGUGAGGUGUCUGGGCUCAGGAGUAAAAGAAACACCUUCCUUCCCUCACAUCCGUUUGUGGUUUGUUUAAGAAGAAGAGGAAAAAAAAAAAAAAGAGGGGGGAAAAGCGCUCAACUCUCCCCCAAGCCGCGGCGCGCACCCGUCGGCGCCGAGCGCGCAGCCUGCUCCACCGCCGCCUCUUGGUCCCGCCGCCGCCGCUGCCGCCGCCGCCGGGCAGCUGGACGCCCUAUAGGGCUCUUGGCAGUCCACGAAAGACCUGGAGUCCGCCUCCCCAUUUCUCCGGUCGGUGAGUGGCAGGAGGAAAUCGCCAAACAUGUUUUCCCGCUUUGCCUCCCCAACUCGGAAACUUGCAACUUGCCGUGUCCUGGAGGUUGAGACAAUUUGGGGUCUCUUGGCUGCCGUCCAACAGAUUUAUCUCUGAGGGCAGUGUCCUUGGUGAGAGGUCCAAGUAGGUGUGGGCGACAUUGUCCUCCAUCUCAUGAGGGAGCAGCCCUGCACACUAGGGCCCAAAACUCUGCGAAGGAGCUUGGAAGUUCUUCAUCCGUUCCACUUGUUUUGCUACUCCACACACCCUUCUAGGACAUGUUGAUUGCCAACUGCUCUGUGCAGCUUUCCCAUAGCUGUCUGUUCCCGUGCAUUUCGGAGCACCAAGCAAAUACGAGCAGAGAGACCUGGAAAAAAAAAUGAUGAAGACAGUAUUAAUGAUAAAAUUAACAUGGCUGAGUGAAUUGUCAAUGCAAGUUCCUUUACUAACUCUUUGUUAAGUUUUGCUUUGUACUCCUUACAUCCUCUUUCUCUUAAGCCAUUGUUUUAAUUUCUUCUCGUUAUCAUUUUUAAAAGUAACAGAAAUACAGCUUUCUUCCUACCUUCACGAUUGACUUGGUGGAGGUUGGGUUGCAAAGAGGAAGCAGUAAGAAAAAAUAAUUAUUCUAUACAUUCACAAGUCCUUCAAGGCACAAAAUAAAAGUAAGAAAUAGAAAAUAUGUCCUUUCUCCUAAUAAAGGUCUUUAUAAUAAAAUUUAAAUGAAGUUUUGUGUUUCAUAACAGCUUCCCAAAUACUGUUGUAGAUACUAAAAUGUGCCUGUAUGUAUUUCCUUCCACAAUAAUAAUAGUAAUAAUAAACUUUUUUAGGUCCAAAUUAAACAUUUCUCAGCUUAAAUUUCUAUCCUCAAUCCAACAUUUAUUAUAUCAAAACUUGAUUUUUAAAAAUAAAACUUUCUUGGAAUUCAUCAUUGAUGUCUGUUUGAUGGCCUCGUGAACAUCAGGAAGAUGAAAUGAAAUGGUUCAAGACUGGAACAAUACCAUUAUCUGCAUCUUGACUCCUGGGAGAUAAUGAUAUCUCCUGCUUUCCUCUACAGACCUACCAGUUUUCUCUGCUUUAAGGGAAAAUCCAAAUGCAUGAGACCUGUGCAUUCUUCUACAUAAUCAAGAGUCUGGUUUCUUCCAUCGGAGUGUAUGGAGUUAAAGUGGUAUACUGUACAUGGCAUGGUGUGAUAGGUGGGAAUAUGAGCUACUGGGGGAAAAAGUUCUUACUUCUAGCCACUUAUACAAAGAGAGGCCAUCUCAGUGUAAUCUGAAAAAAUGCUCACUUUAUAAUGCUGUAUCCAAGGCCCAUCAAAAACUAAAUGGAUGUAUUUGUACUAAAAGUUGGGGAAAGUUGAAUAUCUAAACCUCUGAGCAAAUCUUUCUUAAUUUAGAAAAUAAAAUAGAGCAUCAUUGUAAUACUUUUCAGUUUCCUGGACAUUCAACUCCA